GUGUCAGCAGCCGCGGUAAGACGAACCGUGCGAACGUUGUUCGGAUUCACUGGGCUUAAAGGGCGCGUAGGCGGCUUGCCAAGUCAGGGGUGAAAUCGUUCGGCUCAACCGGACAAGUGCUUCUGAUACUGGCGGGCUGGAGGGAGGUAGGGGCAGACGGAACUUCCGGUGGAGCGGUGAAAUGCGUAGAUAUCGGAAGGAACGCCGGUGGCGAAAGCGGUCUGCUGGACCUCUUCUGACGCUGAGGCGCGAAAGCCAGGGGAGCAAACGGGAUUAGAAACCCCAGUAGUCC
rnacentral:rRNA from 1 species